rnacentral:rRNA from 1 species
AUACGUAGGGGGCAAGCGUUAUCCGGAUUUACUGGGUGUAAAGGGAGCGUAGGCGGCAAGACAAGUCUGAUGUGAAAGCCCGGGGCUUAACCUCGGGAUUGCAUUUAAAACUAUCAAGCUAGAGUACAGGAGAGGUAAGUGGAAUUCCUAGUGUAGCGGUGAAAUGCGUAGAUAUUAGGAAGAACAUCAGUGGCGAAGGCGACUUACUGGACUGAAACUGACGCUGAGGCUCGAAAGCGUGGGGAGCGAACAGGAUUAGAUACCCUGGUAGUCCACGCCGUAAACGAUGAGUGCUAGGUGUCGGGGGGGAACCCUCGGUGCCGCAGCUAACACAAUAAGUAAUCCACCUGGGGAGUACGACCGCAAGGUUGAA